rnacentral:misc_RNA from 1 species
UUUCCGUAGGUGAACCUGCGGAAGGAUCAUUAAUGAGUUGUCAUGGGGUUCGAUGCUGGCAGCCAAUUUUUGGAUGCAUGUGCUUGCCCUAACAAUCAUCUUCCAAACACCUGUGCACAUUUUUGAGGGAGUCUUGAGUUGGUUGCCGCUCUUGGGUGAUUUUCUCACAUUCCCUUAAAUCAUUAUACGCUAUUAACAAUGUUGAACGUGCUCUGUGCCGCAAGGCUAUUAAUAUAAUACAACUUUUAACAACGGAUCUCUUGGCUCUCGCAUCGAUGAAGUACGCAGC